rnacentral:rRNA from 1 species
UCCACGCCGUAAACGCUGUCUACUUGGAGGUUGAGGUUUAAGACUUUGGCUUUCGGCGCUAACGCAUUAAGUAGACCGCCUGGGGAGUACGGCCGCAAGGUUAAAACUCAAAUGAAUUGACGGGGGCCCGCACAAGCGGUGGAGCAUGUGGUUUAAUUCGAUGCAACGCGAAGAACCUUACCUACUCUUGACAUCCAGCGAAUCCUUUAGAGAUAGAGGAGUGCCUUCGGGAACGCUGAGACAGGUGCUGCAUGGCUGUCGUCAGCUCGUGUUGUGAAAUGUUGGGUUAAGUCCCGCAACGAGCGCAACCCUUAUCCUUGUUUGCCAGCACAUAAUGGUGGGAACUCCAGGGAGACUGCCGGUGAUAAACCGGAGGAAGGUGGGGACGACGUCAAGUCAUCAUGGCCCUUACGAGUAGGGCUACACACGUGCUNGUUCCCGGGCCUUGUACACACCGCCCGUCACACCAUGGGAGUGGGCUGCACCAGAAGUAGAUAGCUUAACCUUCGGGAGGGCGUUUACCACGGUGUGGUUCAUGACUGGGGUGAAGUCGUAACAAGGUAGCCCUAGGGGAACCUGGGGCUGGAUCACCUCCUUA